rnacentral:rRNA from 1 species
UACGUAGGCAGCAAGCGUUGUUCGGAGUUACUGGGCGUAAAGGGUGCGUAGGCGGUUCUCUAAGUUUGGUGUGAAAUCUCCCGGCUCAACUGGGAGGGUGCGCCGAAAACUGGGGAGCUAGAGUGUGGGAGAGGUGAGUGGAAUUCCUGGUGUAGCGGUGAAAUGCGUAGAUAUCAGGAGGAACACCGGUGGUGUAGACGGCUCACUGGACCAUUACUGACGCUGAGGCACGAAAGCGUGGGUAGCAAAC